GAUGAACGCUGGCUACAGGCGUAACACAUGCAAGUCGAGGGGAAACGACGGGGAAGCUUGCUUCCCCGGGCGUCGACCGGCGCACGGGUGAGUAACGCGUAUCCAACCUGCCUCUGACUGAGGGAUAACCCGUCGAAAGUCGGCCUAAUACCUCAUGGCAUCGUCUGCGGGCAUCCAACGACGAUUAAAGAUUUCAUCGGUCAGGGAUGGGGAUGCGUCUGAUUAGCUUGUUGGCGGGGUAACGGCCCACCAAGGCUACGAUCAGUAGGGGUUCUGAGAGGAAGGUCCCCCACAUUGGAACUGAGACACGGUCCAAACUCCUACGGGAGGCAGCAGUGAGGAAUAUUGGUCAAUGGGCGGGAGCCUGAACCAGCCAAGUAGCGUGCAGGAUGACGGCCCUAUGGGUUGUAAACUGCUUUUAUGCGGGGAUAAAGUGAGGGACGUGUCCUUCAUUGCAGGUACCGCAUGAAUAAGGACCGGCUAAUUCCGUG
rnacentral:rRNA from 1 species